CAUCCCGAUGCUAUUUCUAGAGAUAGAAAGUUACUUCGGUACAUCGGUGACAGGUGGUGCAUGGUUGUCGUCAGCUCGUGUCGUGAGAUGUUGGGUUAAGUCCCGCAACGAGCGCAACCCCUAUUGUUAGUUGCCAUCAUUCAGUUGGGCACUCUAGCGAGACUGCCGGUAAUAAACCGGAGGAAGGUGGGGAUGACGUCAAAUCAUCAUGCCCCUUAUGACCUGGGCUACACACGUGCUACAAUGGUUGGUACAACGAGUUGCGAGUCGGUGACGGCGAGCUAAUCUCUUAAAGCCAAUCUCAGUUCGGAUUGUAGGCUGCAACUCGCCUACAUGAAGUCGGAAUCGCUAGUAAUCGCGGAUCGGCACGCCGCGGUGAAUACGUUCCCGGGCCUU
rnacentral:rRNA from 1 species